GGUUCCCGCAAUAACCAUAAUAUUUAGCUAAAGCAUUCCGAGUAUUUUCUCAUGAGCUCAUAAAUCAAUUAAAUCGUUUUGCUGAUGGCUAUUCGAAAAGCAGAAAAUGUAUUGUCUAGGAGAUUUUUUAGGGUGGUGCUGAACUUCUGUAGUGGGUACUAGGUGGGGUGUACCCCCAUAGGUGGGGUGUACCCCCAUGGUAGAUCGACCCCUGGAUUAAUUAUUUCACCAGAGCUAUAAUACUAAUGCAAAUGUUGGAUUUAAAUCAAAUCAAAUCCAAACCAUUAUUAAUUCUCGUUGCAGAGUGACGACAGCAACGCCAGCAACAACUAAAAAGAACAAUGCAGAAACUAACAAUGAACUGAUUAGGCAGUUAGAUGACUUAUUUCAAGAUAGUUAAAUUUAAUAAUCAUAAUGUGAAAGUGAUUCAAUGUAGAUUAAGAAACACAGGGUAAUUAUUUUGAAUUUAGGCUAAAAUAUAUUAAAUAGGAGAAAUGAAUCUAAUAUCCAGUUUAUUUGCCCAGAAGAUAACAUAGUCCAGUUCCCAUAGGAAAUUGCCGAUAAAAUAGACAAAUUCUUGGAAGAAUUUGGAGACAGAAACUUUUUAGUUUCCCAUCUAAUCUUGACUAGUUUGGUAACAGGAAAUUCACUGUAUCUGUUUGGGGCAGAGCUUCUAAAUUUCCAACAAAAGCACAAUUUUUCAUCUGGUUUGACCAUUUUAUUUUACAUAGGGGUGGUUGCCCCCCCCCCCCCCCCCAAAAAAAAAAAUCAACUACUGGAUGGAAGAUGGUCAAUAAUCAGCAUAUUGGGCAUUAAUGGAAAACUGUGUUAUGGUACUAUUUAUAUUGGUGGGUUCUGUUGCACACUGACAUUUUUGUGGAUUGGGGGGAGGGGGGCACUCAACACCUAUCACCUACAAUAUAUUUAGUCCCAUAUUACUAGUAAGCAAUUAUGUGUAGACCACUAGACUAUUUUGUGUUGUCAAAUAUAUAAUUUGGAACCAUGUUGGUCCCUUUCAACAAAAGAAUCUCAUUAACUUCUUUUGAAUUGGGUCGGCCUCGCAGUGCCUCGGAAGAGUGCUUUCCAUUGGCUCGACUUGACAAUUGCUUUUCAAAUUUUGUGUUUAGAACAAUGACAUUGCUUCAUUCUUUAAAAAAACCCCAUCCAAUUGGAGACAACCUUCCGAGGCACUGCAAGGCUCCCCUUUGAAUUUGGCACCAACAUGGCCGCCGUGUCAUUGUCUUCUCAAGGAAUUGAUUGCAAGCCAAGAAUAAUUUUUAGUAUUUUUAAAAUACCUCCAAGGAAUUUAUUAAUUUAAUGCAAGGCGCAGCCAAGCGUUUUAUGUCGGAUAAAACACUCAUACUUGUGUUUUAAAUAGCUUAAAAUACAACUACAAAAUAAUAUACUAACUAGGACAAAGAAUUCUAUAAGAAUACUAAUUAGGAUGAACGAUUAUAUGAUGCACGUGCAUAUAUGUGUUUUAUCAGAUAUAAGGUCGCUCCACAUGACGUAAUAUGGCUGACAUGAUUUGCCACAAGGUUUAUGAAUCAUUAAUGUCUUCAUUCAUGAAUGUAUUCAUGCAUUUCCAUAUCACCUGACGCCAGUGUGGAAAGUUUGUAUCGCGCGGCAGAUAUCUCCGGCGCGCAAUUUUGAUGCUUUCUAUAUAUUUACUAUUAAAUUUUCGAAAUCUCUGGCACGCAAUUUCCAAACUUUCCAGUCUGGACCUGACGUAUAGAGUGCACCAGAAACUAAAUACUUCAGGAAUACAAUUUCAUCCCGGGGGUGGGGAAUUUUGCCCAGGAAUUUUGUCCCGAGGGAGUGGCAUUUGACAUUUUUUCUGUAAAAAUGUCAAAUCACCACCCCUUGCCCGACCCCUCCCCUCCCUCGGGGUUAACAUUGAUAGGUGCAUAAUAUACACGUCUAAACUCCACUUUUUUCAACUUUCGAACUGGAUAUUAAAUAGGUGGACUUCAAUGAUCUGGUUUCUUGUACUUCACUUGGUGGUAUCAAUAUUUGAAUGCUGUUCUUAGGGUUUGUAAUCCAAGAUUUCCUACCAGAGGACCUUGUGCUGCAUUUUUUGCAGUCGUUCCUGGUCAGGUCUUAAAAUGUAUAUAUAUACUCACUUGGAUUACAAACCCUAAGAACAGCAUUUGGAUAUUAAAUACUCUAGCUAAAUAUAAUUCUCAUAACAUACCUAAGGUUGGACUGUAAUAGUUUAAAAACCAGUAAAACACCACAAAUGUGGGAAAAAUUGUCUUUACAAAUUACAAUAGACUUGAAAAACAUUCAUUCAAUAUUAAUUUCCCAACUAAAGUUCAUAUUUCCCUCAUUUCCGAACUUGUAACGAAGUUGAUACGAACUGUAAACGACGACGAGCCGAUCAUUCACGUCCACUGAUC
rnacentral:lncRNA from 1 species